CGGGAUGUAGCGCAGCCUGGUAGCGCACCUGCUUCGGGAGCAGGGGGUCGCUAGUUCAAAUCUAGUCAUCCCGACCA
rnacentral:tRNA from 1 species